rnacentral:misc_RNA from 1 species
GAAAUGCGAUAAGUAGUGUGAAUUGCAGAAUUCAGUGAAUCAUUGAAUCUUUGAACGCACAUUGCGCCCCUCGGUAUUCCGUGGGGCAUGCCUGUUCGAGCGUCAUCUACACCCUCAAGCUCUGCUUGGUGUUGGGCGUCUGUCCCGCCUCCUUCGCGCGCGGACUCGCCCCAAAUCCAUUGGCGGCGGCCCUUGCCUCCCUCUCGCGCAGCACAUUGCGCUUCUCGAGGCGCGGCGGACCGCGUCCAGCAAGCAACCGUCACACCGUCUUUGACCUCGGAUCAGGUAGGGAUACCCGCUGAACUUAAGC